rnacentral:misc_RNA from 1 species
GAUGAAGAACGUAGCGAAAUGCGAUAAGUAAUGUGAAUUGCAGAAUUCAGUGAAUCAUCGAAUCUUUGAACGCACAUUGCGCCCAUUAGUAUUCUAGUGGGCAUGCCUGUUCGAGCGUCAUUAAGUCCACUUAAGCCCUGCUUAGUGUUGGGAGACUGCUCCAGCGGUGCUACCCUGUAGCUACCCUGCAGUUCCUCAAAGACAGCGGCGGAGUUGUGGUAUCCUCUGAGCUUAGUAACUUGUUCUAGCUUUCGAGUACACCACUUCCCCUGCCGUAAAACCCUUAAUUUUUAAUGGUUGACCUCGGAUCAGGUAGGAAUACCCGCUGAACUUAAGCAUAUCAAUAAGCGGAGGA